UACGAAGGUCCCAAGCGUUGUUCGGAAUCACUGGGCGUAAAGGGAGCGUAGGCGGCGUGGUAAGUCAGAUGUGAAAUCCCGGGGCUCAACCCCGGAACUGCAUCCGAUACUGCCAUGCUAGAGGAUUGGAGAGGUAGCUGGAAUUCUUGGUGUAGCAGUGAAAUGCGUAGAGAUCAAGAGGAACACUCGUGGCGAAAGCGAGCUACUGGACAAUUCCUGACGCUGAGGCUCGAAGGCUAGGGUAGCGAACAGG
rnacentral:rRNA from 1 species